rnacentral:rRNA from 1 species
AUUGAACGCUGGCGGCAUGCUUUACACAUGCAAGUCGAACGGUAACAGGCCGCAAGGUGCUGACGAGUGGCGAACGGGUGAGUAAUGCAUCGGAACGUGCCCAGUCGUGGGGGAUAACUGCUCGAAAGAGUAGCUAAUACCUCAUACGAUCUAUGGAUGAAAGCGGGGGACCGUAAGGCCUCGCGCGAUUGGAGCGGCCGAUGUCAGAUUAGGUAGUUGGUGGGGUAACGGCUCACCAAGCCAACGAUCUGUAGCUGGUCUGAGAGGAAGACCAGCCACACUGGGACUGAGACACGGCCCAGACUCCUACGGGAGGCAGCAGCGGGGAAUUUUGGACAAUGGGCGAAAGCCUGAUCCAGCAAUGCCGCGUGCAGGAAGAAGGCCUUCGGGUUGUAAACUGCUUUUGUACGGAACGAAACGGCUCUGGUUAAUACCCGGGGCUAAUGACGGUACCGUAAGAAUAAGCACCGGCUAACUACGUG